rnacentral:rRNA from 1 species
GGGAAUUUUCCGCAAUGGGCGAAAGCCUGACGGAGCAAUACCGCGUGAGGGAAGAAGGCCUCUGGGCUGUAAACCUCUUUUCUCAAGGAAGAAGAUCUGACGGUACUUGAGGAAUAAGCCACGGCUAAUUCCGUGCCAGCAGCCGCGGUAAUACGGGAGUGGCAAGCGUUAUCCGGAAUUAUUGGGCGUAAAGCGUCCGCAGGCGGCCUUUCAAGUCUGCUGUUAAAGCGUGGAGCUUAACUCCAUUAAGGCAGUGGAAACUGUUGGGCUUGAGUGUGGUAGGGGCAGAGGGAAUUCCCGGUGUAGCGGUGAAAUGCGUAGAUAUCGGGAAGAACACCAGUGGCGAAGGCGCUCUGCUGGGCCAUAACUGACGCUCAUGGACGAAAGCCAGGGGAGCGAAAGGGAUUAGAUACCCCUGUAGUCA